GUCCCCGUAGCUCAGCUGGAUAGAGUGGCCCCCUCCUAAGGGGCAGGUCACAGGUUCGAAUCCUGUCGGGGACGCCA
rnacentral:tRNA from 1 species